GUAGGGAAUAUUGGACAAUGGGCGAAAGCCUGAUCCAGCAAUGCCGCGUGAGUGAUGAAGGCCUUAGGGUUGUAAAGCUCUUUUACCAGGGAUGAUAAUGACAGUACCUGGAGAAUAAGCUCCGGCUAACUCCGUGCCAGCAGCCGCGGUAAUACGGAGGGAGCUAGCGUUGUUCGGAAUUACUGGGCGUAAAGCGCGCGUAGGCGGCGAUUUAAGUCAGAGGUGAAAGCCCGGGGCUCAACCCCGGAAUAGCCUUUGAGACUGGAGUGCUAGAAUCCUGGAGAGGUGAGUGGAAUUCCGAGUGUAGAGGUGAAAUUCGUAGAUAUUCGGAAGAACACCAGUGGCGAAGGCGGCUCACUGGACAGGUAUUGACGCUGAGGUGCGAAAGCGUGGGGAGCAAACAGGAUUAGAUACCCCGGUAGUCC
rnacentral:rRNA from 1 species